UUAAUCCUACGGGGGGCAGCAGUGGGGAAUAUUGCACAAUGGGGGAAACCCUGAUGCAGCAACGCCGCGUGAGUGAUGACGGCCUUCGGGUUGUAAAGCUCUAUCAGCAGGGAAGAGAAUGACGGUACCUGACUAAGAAGCCCCGGCUAACUACGUGCCAGCAGCCGCGGUAAUACGUAGGGGGCGAGCGUUAUCCGGAUUUACUGGGUGUAAAGGGAGCGUAGACGGUUCUGCAAGUCUGAAGUGAAAGCCCGUGGCUUAACCGCGGAACGGCUUUGGAAACUGUGGAACUGGAGUGCUGGAGG
rnacentral:rRNA from 1 species